rnacentral:misc_RNA from 1 species
GAUGAAGAACGCAGCGAACUGCGAUAAGUAAUGUGAAUUGCAGAAUUCAGUGAAUCAUCGAGUCUUUGAACGCACAUUGCGCCCCCUGGCAUUCCGGGGGGCAUGCCUGUCCGAGCGUCAUUGCUGCCCUUCAAGCCCGGCUUGUGUGUUGGGUCGUCGUCCCCCCCGGGGGACGGGCCCGAAAGGCAGCGGCGGCACCGCGUCCGGUCCUCGAGCGUAUGGGGCUUUGUCACCCGCUCGAUUAGGGCCGGCCGGGCGCCAGCCGGCGUCUCCAACCUUCUAUUUUACCAGGUUGACCUCGGAUCAGGUAGGGAUACCCGCUGAACUUAAGCAUAUCAAUAAGCGGAGA